rnacentral:rRNA from 1 species
AACGAACGCUGGCGGCGUGCCUAACACAUGCAAGUCGAACGCGAAAGGGGGCAACCCCCGGUAGCGUGGCAGACGGGUGAGUAACACGUGGGUAACCUACCCGGAGGUGGGGGAUAACCCUUCGAAAGGAGGGCUAAUACCGCAUGACAUCGCAGGGUCCUCGGACCUUGCGAUCAAAGCUGGCCUCUGUUUACAAGCUAGCCCCACCGGAUGGGCCCGCGCCCCAUUAGCUAGUUGGUGAGGUAACGGCUCACCAAGGCGACGAUGGGUAGCCGGCCUGAGAGGGCGAUCGGCCACACUGGAACUGCGACACGGUCCAGACUCCUACGGGAGGCAGCAGUGAGGAAUAUUGCGCAAUGGGCGAAAGCCUGACGCAGCGACGCCGCGUGGAGGAUGAAGGUCUUCGGAUUGUAAACUCCUGCCGAGUGGGACGAAUGCCGUGAGGGUGAAUAAGCCUCGCGGUUGACGGUACCGCUGGAGGAAGCCCCGGCUAACUCCGUGCCAGCAGCCGCGGUAAGAC